rnacentral:tRNA from 1 species
AGUAAGGUGCCUGAGAAAAGGACUACUUUGAUAGAGUAGAUCAUGUAAUAAAUUACUCUUACUA